GGGGGCGUAAAGGUUUCGACGGGGAUUUUGAAGUGUGAUAAGCGAGCGGAGCUGUUGUGUAAUCUCCUUAAACUGCACUACGUUUAAAUAUAAACGCUAGAAGAAAUAUUACAGUUACUAGAAAUAGUGUACUGGUAGCAGCUUAAGUCUGCUUCCAUCCUCUUGCAGAGUACCGUGACUGCUUGUUGGGUGUCGAUUAACGGUGAACGGUUCUUCGGUGUGUCCGUACCGCUGAAUUGUAUUCGGACUAUUUGUGCUUUCAGCCUGUUUGUCGGCGGUAAGUUCAAGAAAUUUUAAUAGAUAAAAUACGCUCGUAGAAAGUUGCAUGAAUAGAUUUUCGGACACGAGUUCAAUUCUCGUCGCCUCCACCA
rnacentral:tmRNA from 1 species